rnacentral:rRNA from 1 species
AUUGAACGCUGGCGGCAGGCCUAACACAUGCAAGUCGAACGAGUGGCGGACGGGUGAGUAAUGUCUGGGAAACUGCCUGAUGGAGGGGGAUAACUACUGGAAACGGUAGCUAAUACCGAAUACCAUUAGAGCUGCCCAGAUGGGAUUAGCUUGUGGGUGGGGUAACGGCUCACCAAGGCGCCGAUCCCUAGCUGGUCUGAGAGGAUGACCAGCAACAGUGGAGAUGAGACACGGUCCCGACUCCUACGGGAGGCAGCAGUGGGGAAUAUUGCACAAUGGGCGCAAGCCUGAUACAGCCAUGCCGCGUGUAUGAAGAAGGCCUUCGGGGUGUAAAGUACUUUCAGCGGGGAGGCGUUACCCGCAGAAGAAGCACCGGCUAACUCCGUGCCAGCAGCCGCGGUAAUUC